AGAGUUUGAUUAUGGCUCAGGACGAACGCUGGCGGCGUGCCUAAUACAUGCAAGUCGAACGCUCUCGACCUUCGGGUCAUAUGAGAGAGUGGCGAACGGGUGCGUAACACGUGAGAAACCUGCCCCGAAGACGGGAAUAACGCGAGGAAACUUGUGCUAAUACCCGAUGCCCUCCUUGGACCGCAUGGUCCGCUGAGGAAAUGCUCCGCCGCUCCAGGAGGGUCUCGUGGCCUAUCAGCUUGUUGGUGAGGUAACGGCUCACCAAGGCUAUGACGGGUAGCUGGUCUGAGAGGACGAUCAGCCACACUGGGACUGAGACACGGCCCAGACUCCUACGGGAGGCAGCAGUAGGGAAUCUUGCGCAAUGGGCGAAAGCCUGACGCAGCAACGCCGCGUGGGGGACGACGGCUUUCGGGUUGUAAACCCCUUUCAGCAGGGACGAAAUUGACGGUACCUGCAGAAGAAGCCCCGGCCAACUACGUGCCAGCAGCCGCGGUAACACGUAGGGGGCGAGCGUUGUCCGGAUUUAUUGGGCGUAAAGAGCUCGUAGGCGGUUGCGUAAGUCAGGUGUGAAAACUCCAGGCUCAACUUGGAGACGCCACCUGAUACUGCCAUGACUAGAGUCCGGUAGAGGAGCGUGGAAUUCCUGGUGUAGCGGUGAAAUGCGCAGAUAUCAGGAGGAACACCAGUGGCGAAGGCGGUGCUCUGGGCCGGUACUGACGCUGAGGAGCGAAAGCAUGGGGAGCAAACAGGAUUAGAUACCCUGGUAGUCCAUGCCGUAAACGUUGGGCACUAGGUGUGGGACCUACUUAACGGGUUCCGUGCGGUAGCUAACGCAUAAAGUGCCCCGCCUGGGGAGUACGGCCGCAAGGCUAAAACUCAAAGGAAUUGACGGGGGCCCGCACAAGCGGCGGAGCAUGUUGCUUAAUUCGAAGCAACGCGAAGAACCUUACCUGGACUUGAAAUCCUACGAAUCUGCUAGAGAUAGCGGAGUGCCCUUCGGGGAAUGUAGUGACAGGCGCUGCAUGGCUGUCGUCAGCUCGUGUUGUGAGAUGUUGGGUUAAGUCUCGCAACGAGCGCAACCCCUAUUGUUAGUUGCCAGCAUUAAGUUGGGCACUCUAACGAGACUGCCUGGGUUAACCAGGAGGAAGGUGGGGAUGACGUCAAGUCCUCAUGGCCCUUAUGUCUAGGGCUACACACGUAAUACAAUGGUCGGUACAGAGGGACGCGAACUCGCGAGGGGGAGCAAAUCUCAAAAAACCGAUCUCAGUCCGGAUUGAAGUCUGCAACUCGACUUCAUGAAGUUGGAAUCGCUAGUAAUCGCGGAUCAGCACGCCGCGGUGAAUACGUUCCCGGGCCUUGUACACACCGCCCGUCACACCACGGGAGUUGUUCUUACCUGAAGUCGUGGCCCUAACUGCUUGCAGAGGGGAGCGCCUACGGUCGGAACGAUGACUGGGGUGAAGUCGUAACAAGGUAGCC
rnacentral:rRNA from 1 species